rnacentral:rRNA from 1 species
UGGUAAUGCCGGAUGCUCCGACUCCUCGCAUGGGGUGUCGGGAAAGAUUUCAUCGGUAUGGGAUGGGGUCGCGUCCUAUCAGGUAGUCGGCGGGGUAACGGCCCACCGAGCCUACGACGGGUAGCCGGCCUGAGAGGGCGACCGGCCACAUUGGGACUGAGAUACGGCCCAGACUCCUACGGGAGGCAGCAGUGGGGAAUAUUGCACAAUGGGCGCAAGCCUGAUGCAGCGACGCCGCGUGCGGGAUGACGGCCUUCGGGUUGUAAACCGCUUUUGAUCGGGAGCAAGCCUUCGGGUGAGUGUACCUUUCGAAUAAGCACCGGCUAACUACGUGCCAGCAGCCGCGGUAAUACGUAGGGUGCAAGCGUUAUCCGGAAUUAUUGGGCGUAAAGGGCUCGUAGGCGGUUCGUCGCGUCCGGUGUGAAAGUCCAUCGCUUAACGGUGGAUCUGCGCCGGGUACGGGCGGGCUGGAGUGCGGUAGGGGAGACUGGAAUUCCCGGUGUAACGGUGGAAUGUGUA